AGAGUUUGAUCCUGGCUCAGGACGAACGCUGGCGGCGCGCCUAACACAUGCAAGUCGAACGGAGCUUAGAGAGCUUGCUUUUUAAGCUUAGUGGCGAACGGGUGAGUAACGCGUGAGUAACCUGCCCUAGAGUGGGGGACAACAGUUGGAAACGACUGCUAAUACCGCAUAAGCCCACGGUGCCGCAUGACACUGAGGGAAAAGGAUUUAUUCGCUUUAGGAUGGACUCGCGUCCAAUUAGCUAGUUGGUGAGGUAACGGCCCACCAAGGCGACGAUUGGUAGCCGGACUGAGAGGUUGAACGGCCACAUUGGGACUGAGACACGGCCCAGACUCCUACGGGAGGCAUCAGUGGGGGAUAUUGCACAAUGGGGGAAACCCUGAUGCAGCGACGCCGCGUGGAGGAAGAAGGUUUUCGGAUUGUAAACUCCUGUCGUUAGGGACGAUAAUGACGGUACCUAACAAGAAAGCACCGGCUAACUACGUGCCAGCAGCCGCGGUAAAACGUAGGGUGCAAGCGUUGUCCGGAAUUACUGGGUGUAAAGGGAGCGCAGGCGGGAAGACAAGUUGGAAGUGAAAACCAUGGGCUCAACCCAUGAAUUGCUUUCAAAACUGUUUUUCUUGAGUAGUGCAGAGGUAGAUGGAAUUCCCGGUGUAGCGGUGGAAUGCGUAGAUAUCGGGAGGAACACCAGUGGCGAAGGCGGUCUACUGGGCACCAACUGACGCUGAGGCUCGAAAGCAUGGGUAGCAAACAGGAUUAGAUACCCUGGUAGUCCAUGCCGUAAACGAUGAUUACUAGGUGUUGGGGGAUUGACCCCCU
rnacentral:rRNA from 1 species